rnacentral:rRNA from 1 species
AUGGAACAAUCAAAAAUUAUAGAUAUGAUGGAGACGUAUCAUUUAGCUGACACCGAAAGUAUAUACCUGGACAGAUGCAGGAAGAAUGUGUACCUGGGCCAUCGUCGAUUUCUCCCGACCAACCAUCAAUGUCGAAAGAAAGGAAAGUAUUUCAAAGGCGAGGCAGAUCACCGGAAGAAGCCCUCCAUGUGUACUGGUGAUCACGUACUUGAUAUGGUCUCUGAUUUACACGUAAUAUUUGUAAAGGGUCCCGGCGGACUAGCUGUUCCGAAUGACGCUGAGGGACGCGCACCCAUGUGA